rnacentral:rRNA from 1 species
UACGUAGGGGGCAAGCGUUGUCCGGAUUUAUUGGGCGUAAAUCGCGUGUAGGCGGCCAGAUAGGUCUGCUGUGAAAACUCGAGGCUCAACCUCGAGCUGUCGGCGGAAACCAUCUGGCUAGAGUCCGGAAGAGGAGAGUGGAAUUCCUGGUGUAGCGGUGAAAUGCGCAGAUAUCAGGAGGAACACCGGUGGCGAAGGCGGCAUCCUGGACCGGUAUUGACACUGAGGAGCGAAAGCCAGGGGAGCAAACGGG